rnacentral:tRNA from 3 species
GGUGUGGCUCAGUUUGGCUAGAGCGCCUGGUUUGGGACCAGGAGGUCGCAGGUUCGAAUCCUGUCA